rnacentral:snRNA from 1 species
UAUCACCACAAAAUCUUAUC